CCUACGGGUGGCAGCAGUGAGGAAUAUUGGUCAAUGGGCGCGAGCCUGAACCAGCAACGCAGCGUGAAGGAAGACUGCCCUAGGGGUUGUAAACUCCUUUUAUAAAGGAAUAAAGUGAGGCACGUGUGCCUUUAUGCAUGUACUUUAUGAAAAAGGAUCGGCUAACUCCGUGCCAGCAGCCGCGGUAAUACGGAGGAUCCGAGGUUUAUCCGGAUUGAUUGGGUUUAAAGGGAGCGUAGAGGGGUUGUUAAGUCAGAUGUGAAAGUUUGCGGCUCAACCGUAAAAUUGCAUUUGAUAAUGGCAGCCUUGAGUGCAGUUGAGGUAAGUGGAAUUCGUGGUGUAGCGGUGGAAUGCUUAGAUAUCACGAAGAACUCCUGUUGCGAAGGCAGCUUACUGGACUGCCACUGACGCUGAGGCUCGAAAGUGUGGGUAUCAAACAGGAUUAGAUACCCCUGUAGUC
rnacentral:rRNA from 1 species